GAGAUACGUAUUUCAAAGCAGCUCUUUCAGGACAUAUAUUGAUUCACACCGCACAAAGUCAUCUCCUCUCAGGGCAGGAUUUGAUUUACACAUUACCCCUCAGUGCACAAGGAGAGGUCAAACUGCCAUGAGCUAUAAUCCUGCCUGAAAUCUCCACGGAUCUGGAGGAAUGGUGCUGGCCUCUUCCUCCAAGCUCUGCGCCCACAGCCUGCUGCAAGGGAGGAGUGCAGUCAAGGUCAUAGCAACACUGUCAGGGCAACAUGCAUCCUUGUCAUUGCCUUAAGGGAAACAUCUCUCUGCUCCUCUGACUACAGAGCCUACCCCUUCCUGUAAGACAAGGAGUCCCCUGAACUUCACUCUUCUGACACAACAACGCAAGUGCUGCAUAGGUCGCUCAUCACAUGUCCCUCUCUGUGCUGAGGCUUAAUAGUCCUGUCCUGACAUCUUCUUUAAUAAGCAGCCUGACAGCCUCUCACCUGUCCUCUUUGAAGCCUGGACCAGGAAGAAUGAAGAACAGGACAAAGCUUGCAGAACAAAAUUAUGUGAGAACAGCGGGUCGAUGCCAUUGAAAACUGCGGAUGCACUGAUGCCCAGAGCCACCCACAUGUCCUGAAACCUGAUGCAUAGAGCAAAAGAAAGUAAGUGGCCAGUUGAUCCUGAAGAAAGGAGGCCAGAAAAGUGAAUGUAAUACCACAGCAUUUGUUUUUCCAAACACAGAUUAUAUUUGUGAAAUAAUGCUGAACACAUUCUGUAAAAAGAGUAAUCUCAGCAAUCAGAUGGCAUAACUCUGUAAUGAAACCCUGUGCUCUUUAGGAACUGGGAAUGAUACAAAAAAUGCUGGUAUGACAAUCCAUGGUAUCUCAGACCAAUGAAAGACUAGGUCUGUAGGAUGCAAACCAAGGGCAUGGUUUUAGAAUGGCUCUUACACUGACAUUACACCUAGCUUCACAGUUGCUAAAUGUUCUCAUUUAUUGUGGAAGCAAGGGGAAAGCAUAGGACUUCACAGUGUUCAGUGUGUGACAUAACUGGUUAUGCAC
rnacentral:lncRNA from 1 species